UUUAAAUCGUCUCACAACUGUUCCCACCUCAUACCAUAUCUGUUCCUGGUUCUAAUUCGAGAAGAUCGACUAUGUGAAUCCUUUUAUCUAUGUGAUUAGCGUUAAGUUUCUCAAGCGUGUUAUAUAUUUGUUCCCUCCAUAUGGAGACUACAUGGAUUGGAUAUGAAAAGUUGAGUUCGGGUGAUGCAGAUCUGAGGGUUGGUUCUAAUUGCAGACUACAUGGAUUGGAAUUUCCGGUGAUUUCGCCUCAUAUUGAGACCGGAAAAGGCACCACACCGAGGACAGCAAUGUUGACUCUUUUCGAGACUCAAGUAGUGAUUACGACCUCCCAAAGAGUGAAAUUUUUCGGCGGUUGGAUCAGUCAUGGUUAAAUCAGCAACACGCCCUUCAAUAAGGCUUCUCUAGUGAUGAGGGUGAAUCAGCAAGACCUCAAAUAUGUCUUUCAGUUGAGUAUUUGGAGCGCAAUCAACCUUGAGGUCGGGAACCAGGGGGACAAUCCUGACCCUAAUGCAUCAAUAUGGGUCAACCAACCUUUAGGUCUACCCCAAACUGACCCGAAACUCGUUCUGACCCGGACCCGUUCUGACCCGAACCCGUUCCGACCCGAACCAAAACAACCCUUUUUCAUAAUUGACCCGUUUGACCCAUGACCCGACCCGACCCGAACCGAACCGAACCAACCCGUUUGCUAGGUCUAUCGUGAACCUUUGACUGAUAAGGUUUGUUUAUUAGAAAAGUGUCUAAUAAAGUUUUAAGAUAUGUUAUGUGGUGUUUCUGAUAUAAAUAAUUCUACAUUAAUCUGUUGCAUAUAUACUUGAUUUUGCGCGUCACUUCCCAGAGCUGAAAAGCAUGAAAAGUUGUGAUUUGUUUUUUGUUUUUUGACGUUUCAUUCUCUUCAUACACCAAUCACAGGUUUGUAUUUUUUCUAUAUAACUUUUGUGUUGGAUUUUGAAGCUGAUGAUUUGAUUACUGAAAUAAGUAUCAGUUUCUAAUGCUUGGAUAAACUGAUCACUUUUACUUUUUUUUUUUCCACAACAGGGUCUUUUUUGGUUGUUUUCUUAAUUUAUCGAGUAAUCAGAGUUUCCAAACACUUGAAAAACCGAGCAUCUGAUGGUUAAAACUUACAACCUCAAAUAGCAUAACAUGUUCAAACACUAUCUCCAACAACCUGUUUUAUUACAUUUAUCUUAGUAUGAUUAGUAUCACGUGAUUACCUCUAGUUAACAUAUCCAAACACCACCCUAAAUGCAUCAAGAGAGACGAUACUGGAUGGUCUCUUGUGGAUUCAGAUGCAAAACAUUAGGAAAUACACAUAACUUUAGCAAUGAAAGUGAAAACGUUAAUAUAGAUCCAGUUUUUUCACCAAUCAAUUUAGAUAAAUUGUUUGUAUGCUAGUCCAUUCCUGGUGGUCUGUGUGUGUCUACAUUAAAAUUUACAUAAUUGUUUAUUGCAGGCAAUCAACAUGAGCAUCCGCCUGUUAUGAAUCCUGGGAAGACAGGUACCCCAAAAAUCUCAUUACCAGUGUUUGUUCUUGCUUCAUUCAAGUUAAAAGAACCUCUAUGGAUCAACAAUGAAGGCGAAUUGCUGACGGAUCUAUUGCAGGCAGCCGACAGUUGGUUGGCAAAUCUUCAGGUCAAUCACCUUCAUUUGGUUCAUGUCUGCUGACUUGGACAGCCUAGUUGAAACUCAACUGGUUGUAUCAUUUUUCAAAAGUUCCUUAGGAACGUGAGUACCAUGGAAACACCAGAAUCGAAGUGGUGAAACCCGCCGGCAGAAGACUGUUUUUGUUCUAACUGAAACAAGUUGUGUGUUAAUUAAGGAUGGAGCUAGAUCGAAGUGAUAGUGUACACAUGGUUAACGACAUCCGCAAAACUGCAAUGGAGUUUCUACCUUUGAGUAAUCCACACAACGUAAACAACAAUCUAUCCGCAAAAUUGUAGGAUCCGGGUUUCAAUAUGUUAUGCAUGACCAAACUAGAUGUAUAAAAAGUUUUAUCCCGUUAGCUAUUAUUCUCGUUCUUUUUUUACAUGAUUUUUAAAACCGUUAUAAAAAUCCGGGUUUCAAUU